UCACAUUGGUGAUUUGAAAGUCACCCGCCCAAAUACGGGGAGAGACUAUUGCACUUGCAUAUCCUUCAUUGGGUAACACCCGGUGUAGAGCCGCUCGUGGUGGAGGUUGGGGUGGAACUGGGACAUUGUCAUGAGGCACUCGGCCUCUUCUAUUGGCUUGAGGUUCAAGAGGAACCUCAUCAACUUGAUCAUCCUCGACAUUCACAUCUCCCAAAGCAAUAUUUUCGAGCUCAUUGUUCGCCAUGGUUGUACCUACGAUUUCUCAAACAAGUUAGUAAUACGGAAGAAAAAUAAGAUACUCUAAAAACACACCUAAAUAUAUAGCUAACACCAUUUUUAACUCUCCGGCAACGGCGCCAAAAAUUGAUCACGCCUAAAUCACACCUCAAAAGAGGUAUGAAACGGCCGCUUGCAAUAAUAGAAACCCAACUAAGAGUCGGGGUCGAAUCCACAGGGAGCUAAGAUAGGAGUUAGGGGUAUAUAUUUCAAUGUGAGUGGGUGGAUUAUCAAGAUUGCACUUCCACAAUAAGGAUUGUUUUCUAUUUUUACUCUAUUGAUUGCAAAAUAAAGGAAGAAGACUAGAAAAAUUUAUUUUUAAGGUUUUUACAAAUGGAUAAAAAGCCUAGGGCUGUGAUCACUAGGUGUUUGCCUAAUGGGUUAAAGACUUUAAUUCUUGUUUCGUUGAUUGGGGUGUAUUAUAGCUAUCAACUCUAAUUUACCCACUCAGUACCUCUCGGUCAGAGAGUGGUUUUGCCCAAUUUGGCUUUCUCAAGACCAAAUGGGUAUCACCCAAAACAGUUGAUAAGAGCUCAAGUCGGGUUAUUACUAUCUCUAGGUUGAACCCUUUAAUUGGGUUAAUCAAUCUCUCAAUUGACCCAAUUCCUUGUUAGCUAAGUUAUCAUAGACUAAAUCUCUCUUUCUCAAAUAUAGACUAAGUCAAAUAGGCAUGACCUAAUAUUUGCAAUCAUUAAUUCCACAAUUUAAGCAUGAACUAAGCUAAAUAAUAAAUACUUAGUCAUAAAAAAGCACUAAAUUAGAUAUCUAUAAGGUUUACACACUAGGGUUGGGUCACAACCCUAGUAGAAAUCUAGCUACUCAUAAUUGGGUUUGAAGAAAAUAGAGAAGAAAGACUAAUUAAAAUCAUAAUAAAAGCUUCAAAUGAUUAAAUCUAUUGUAAAUACACCAAAAAAAAGUAAAACUUCCUAAAAUAGCAAAGAAAAACGGCUACAGUAAUUUCAGAGGUUCAAACUUGACCUAAUUUUGUGAAACUCGUUUAUUUAUAUAAGGCUAAAAAUUUCGGACAAAAAUACCUCUCGGGAGGUUUUGCGGCCGCACAAUUCCUUGUGCAGUCCGCAGAUUUCUUCAUCUGGAAGGAGCUAAAGUUCUGCAGCCGUACAUUUUUGAACUGCGGCCGCAAGACAACUUUUCUGCAGACCGCACAUUAAGAACUACAACCGCAAGACACUCUUCUGCGGUCCGCAAUAUUAGGAUUGCGGCCGCACAAAUCAUGUGCGGUCCGCAAUUCACUGAGGUUUUGGACUUGGUCAUUUUGCAUACUCUCUGAUCUUGGCCUUAGCCCAUCUUUUGCGGCCACAAAAUUUAUGUGCGGUCCGCGAUUUGCACAAUUGUCUACUAAUUUUUCCUUCUUUGUUUGCGGCCGCAGAUAGAAUUUUGCGGACCGUACAUUGUGUGCUUCUGUGCCCUUUAUUGUCUUGUGCUUAGACUGCUCCUUUUUUAGUCGGAUUUCAUUUCGGGAGCCCAACUCUCAGCAUUCCUGCAAUUUUGCACAAUUUCAUUAGUUUCGGAAAUACAAUUCAAUGCUUUUAGACUAAAACAAAAGCUAAAAGGCGCUAAUAAGUAGUCAAAAUCCCCACUUAUCAAUGACCAAGCCUGAUUUUAGAUUGAACAGUGAUCUCAUCCUCGAUUGGACCCUCGGUUCGAGCCCAAUCGUGAAUGAAGAACAUAACAAGUGAGUAAAGUUCUUAACGGUAACUGGAAGGUAAAAAUAAACUUUUAUUGCAUUGAAUUGCGUCUUACAAUGGUCAGACUAAAGAAAUUUUUUUCCUUUAUAUAAUAGGAGAGGUUCAGUCAUAGUAUAAUCUAAAAAAGGUAAAAAUCUUCCUUUCUCGAUAAUUGUUCAUCCAUAAUCGACAUCGAGCGAAAUUCGCGCAUUGAUAUCCGGUUGAGGGCGAGUAUUACGACCCUCUAUCCAUCAUGCAUAACCGUUCACCGUGUCUCCCGAGAUCUAGAACUUACACUCGACCCGGGCGCGUCGCUUUACCAUGUCCGAUAUAUCGUUCACUCUUCCUGGGUCUCGAUACGAGGGGUCUCUGACCUCGAUUACAAUCUCUUGGAUCCAUGUUCCUCCUUCGUUCUUUCUUCGGGGGAUCGGGUUGAUACUGCCCCUGAUUUUACCCGUAUACAACUGUAAUUCAGUCCGACAAUUUAAGCUGACUAAUAAAAAGACUGAAGAACAAUCCAAGAAAAGAAAAUCAAACAUAGAAUGAGAAAUCACUUUAUGUAAAAGAUAGAAUGUCUUAGAUCCCAUUCGUUUAUUUAGUAAAAUUGUAGAUGUCCGAAACAUAAAUAAAUAUCACUAUUGAAAUACUAUUUAUAAGUCCAAAAAUUGGAAUUAAUUUAGAUUACUUAUUUUUUUCAGCAUAACUUAUACUAUUUACUUUAAUAAAAAUUGUAAAACUCAAACAAAUACCAACAGUAAGAUAUUACAUCCAUCAAAUAAAGAAAAAUAAAUCCCAAUUUACCUUAGGUGAAGCGUUGAAGUGACGAUCAACUUGUGUUUUGAAAUUCAAGAUUAGCAUUUUCAUCGCUUUUAAUUUUUGUGAUAUAGAUUUUAAUCAACUUGACAAGAUUACCAUAUGUUGUGCUUUAUCUCCACUUUCUC
rnacentral:lncRNA from 1 species